GCCAGACUCCUACGGGAGGCAGCAGUGGGGAAUAUUGGGCAAUGGGCGCAAGCCUGACCCAGCAACGCCGCGUGAAGGAAGAAGGCUUUCGGGUUGUAAACUUCUUUUAUUCGGGACGAAGAAAGUGACGGUACCGAAUGAAUAAGCCACGGCUAACUACGUGCCAGCAGCCGCGGUAAUACGUAGGUGGCAAGCGUUAUCCGGAUUUAUUGGGUGUAAAGGGCGUGUAGGCGGGAAUGCAAGUCAGAUGUGAAAACGCAGGGCUCACCCCUGAGCCUGCAUUUGAAACUGUAUGUCUUGAGUGCUGGAGAGGCAAUCGGAAUUCCGUGUGUAGCGGUGAAAUGCGUAGAUAUACGGAGGAACACCAGUGGCGAAGGCGGAUUGCUGGACAGUAACUGACGCUGAGGCGCGAAAGCGUGGGGAGCAAACAGGAUUAGAUACCCCGGUACA
rnacentral:rRNA from 1 species